GAUGAACGCUGGCGGCGUGCCUAAUACAUGCAAGUCGAACGAAACUUCUUUAUCACCGAGUGCUUGCACUCACCGAUAAAGAGUUGAGUGGCGAACGGGUGAGUAACACGUGGGCAACCUGCCCAAAAGAGGGGGAUAACACUUGGAAACAGGUGCUAAUACCGCAUAACCAUAGUUACCGCAUGGUAACUAUGUAAAAGGUGGCUAUACUACCGCUUUUGGAUGGGCCCGCGGCGCAUUAGCUAGUUGGUAGGGUAAAGGCUUACCAAGGCAAUGAUGCGUAGCCGAAUUGAGAGGUUGAUCGGCCACAUUGGGACUGAGACACGGCCCAAACUCCUACGGGAGGCAGCAGUAGGGAAUCUUCCACAAUGGGCGAAAGCCUGAUGGAGCAACGCCGCGUGGGUGAAGAAGGCCUUCGGAUCGUAAAACCCUGUUGUUAGAGAAGAAAGUGCGUGAGAGUAACUGUUCACGUUUCGACGGUAUCUAACCAGAAAGCCACGGCUAACUACGUG
rnacentral:rRNA from 1 species